UCGUCUGAUCUGAGGUCG
rnacentral:rRNA from 1 species